UGGGGAAUAUUGCACAAUGGGCGCAAGCCUGAUGCAGCAACGCCGCGUGAACGAUGAAGGUCUUCGGAUCGUAAAGUUCUGUUGCAGGGGAAGAUAAUGACGGUACCCUGUGAGGAAGCCCCGGCUAACUACGUGCCAGCAGCCGCGGUAAUACGUAGGUGGCAAGCGUUGUCCGGAAUUAUUGGGCGUAAAGCGCGCGCAGGUGGUUUAGAAAGUCUGAUGUGAAAGCCCACGGCUCAACCGUGGAGGGUCAUUGGAACUAAUAAACUUGAGUGCAGGAGAGAAAAGUGGAAUUCCUAGUGUAGCGGUGAAAUGCGUAGAGAUUAGGAGGAACACCGGUGGCGAAAGCGGCUUUUUGGCCUGCAACUGACACUGAGGCGCGAAAGCGUGGGGAGCAAACAGG
rnacentral:rRNA from 1 species